GAUGAAGAACGCAGCGAAAUGCGAUACGUAAUGUGAAUUGCAGAAUUCAGUGAAUCAUCGAGUCUUUGAACGCACAUUGCGCCCCCUGGUAUUCCGGGGGGCAUGCCUGUCCGAGCGUCAUUGCUGCCCUCAAGCACGGCUUGUGUGUUGGGCCUCCGUCCUCCUCCCGGGGGACGGGCCCGAAAGGCAGCGGCGGCACCGCGUCCGGUCCUCGAGCGUAUGGGGCUUCGUCACCCGCUCUUGUAGGCCCGGCCGGCGCUUGCCGACACAUCAAUCUUUUUUCCAGGUUGACCUCGUAUCAGGUAGGGAUACCCGCUGAACUUAAGCAUAUCAAUAAGCGGAGGA
rnacentral:misc_RNA from 1 species